AGUUCAGUACAAUGAGACCAAGUUGGGGUUUUGGCUGCUUGGAGACUCCGUGUUUCUCCUUACUUGUAAAAAUUAAAUGAUCUUUAAUAUUUGAAGGGUUCUUAGCCCAAACCAGGAUGCUUUAUUAGGAGACAUUGCUAAUUAUUUGUAUUGCAGAAGCACCUGUGCAUCCUCCUAGCCGUGCAGAUUUCUGCAAUGCACUGUGUUGCACCAACCCAUCUUAACUAGGGAGUUUCCGCCCCAAAAAGCGUUACCCACCAAAUUAGAUGGAGAUCACAGACCAGGGCAUCCCACUGACCCACCGUGCUCUCAGCCCAGCCCUGAGAAACUCUCUCCAACAAGUAUUGGCAGGAAGGUUGGUUGGAGGUGACAUUUGCGGUGUGGCAGCAUGGAUGUUCAUGUGCAGCUGCUGAGAAACAGGAGGGACACAGCAGCCUGGACGAGGUGCCGUGGGGCAGAGCCAGGGAAGGGCUGUCACAGCCGUCAGGGCUCAAGGUGACCACAGCCAGGACAAAACCCCCAGCUCCACGUGUGCACGGGGUCACCUUGUCUUGGGGAUGCUCCUUGCAAGAAGCAACAUCCCGGGUUCACCCAGUGCCAAGGGCUGAGCCUGCCAGGCAGGGUCUAGCUCAGAUGUGAGGUGUUGGUCUGGGUUUAGAGGCUGGUUGAGAUGCAGGCAGGGGCUGUGAGGGUGAAGGGAGACUCAGCCUGGGCUGAGCUCUGGUUUGGUGAUGCUAUAGUUUGGCUGCCGUCUGCGCGUUCAUGUGGAAACGUCAGCAAGAGGCUGAGCCGCAGCGUGAGCAGGAGGAGGGAGGUCUGGAGAGGAGAGGUAGAGCCGUGAGUCAUCACCAAGAAGAUGAAAGUUGAUUUUCAUGUUUUCAGAUGCAAUUCCUUGGAGUAUGUCAAGCAAAAUGGGCUAGAGGCUGCACUGGCACCAGGAAAACCCUGAGGAGAGUUGGAGGGGGAAUGGAGAGACCUUCCCAAAGCACAGGGGGAGUGAGCAGAGAGGGAGAAGCCAGCCGGAGAAGCGACUCUUCUUGCAACAUGAUGGCUUUGGAGGGCAGGUACCAUGUUUGGGGUGCACUUGCUCCAAGGCUGGCCCCAGCCCUGAGUGCAUCUGCUCCCAAACCAUUUGCUUACGCCUUGCCAGCACCCUGCUUUUGGGGUAGAUCAAAGGCAUUUGGAGUGUCUCCAUAGUUGUUGCUUUCAGAUUUCCACUCAAAAGCAGUUAAUGCAGAGUAUAGAGAACUCACUGCAAGCCUCGCAGGUGCAGGGGACCCGGGGACAGUGAUGUCCCUGCAGAGUCUCACAAGUGUUACCUUGAGAUUUUGCUUGUUAAUUAGCAGCACUCAGUCCCUUCAGAAAUCUCCUCAGUUUUGGGAUCACUGAACUGCAAAAACAUGAGCUUAAUUGAAAGCUGGUGCUUUUCUCUUGGCAGAAACAGCGUGGAAUAAAUGAGGUAUCUUAAAAUCGGGCUCGCUCUGCAAACCCCAGUAGAGCAGAAGGGGCAGCUCAGCUCCUUCACCCUCACUGCGAUACCGUGACCCACUUUGUGCCGGCCUCGGAUCAGCUCCGCUCAAGUCUCUUUGCAGCUGCUCCCCAGACCUUUCUGAAAGCAAGAGAGUUGCCUGGGCUGCAAUUAAGAGGCUUAAUUCACAGUUCUGCUGCUGCACAAAACUUCUGUGCCACUUCUGUCCUUGCAGCAAGGUUCUGCAUGACCAAGAAAUGGUUUCUGCCCCCUUCAGAGCAGACUUUGCUGAAGGGUUUUUAUCAGGACAGAAAGCUGAUGGUCUUCCCUGCAGCCAGCUCAGCAUCCUCCAGGUAUACUGUAAGUUUAUUACGCUGAUAUAUGCCACUGAGAGCUGAUGGUCAUAGGGACCAGCAGUGGUUUUAAGUCUUCAUCAUCAUCAUGACCAUUGUGGCUGGGCCUGGUUUUUCUUUAAAGAUCUCACGGCUCUUUAUCCUUUACAUUUCACUGGCUCGCUGCAUUUGGAGACUGUACAGAUGCUGUGCGUAAUGAGCUCGCUCUGCUGGGACCUGAUGUGAUUUGCCAAAAUCCUAAAAACCACCUCACGUUUCUGCUUGGUUCUGGAGCAAGCCCUGCUUUAAUACUCAGCAAAAGCAGCCUCAAAAUUGCUUUAUGCAAAUGCAUCUCCUAAUUGAAUCUGGCCGAGCACAGCCACGUUUUACACGCUGGGUGUGUGCUGGGCUGGGUGUCCUGCUGACACCGGCGUUCCCGGCAGCUCCAGCUCCCUGGCCCGAGCUCAGGUGGUGCAGCCAUGUCCUGAGCACCAGGGACCUGUCCCAUCUCCUCGGGGUCACCCUGUGGCACAGCUCUGCCAAGCUGCUUUUUACCCAUGGCCGGGAGUUGUGCUGUGAAGGUUUAGUUGUGAAGCUGGACCUACCGGGAAGCGGACGGCUGAGGAUUUGUUGCAGUGCAUGGAGAUGGGAGCAAAGCUGUAGAGGGAUUUCAGGACGUCUCUGUUGAAUGUGUUCCAGGGGACAGAGAAAAACUGCUGUGGGACAGAGACCUGUGGGCAGGUGCAGACCUCCUCGUCGUUAAACCUGCGGCAGGAGAAAUGCCACACUGAAACACAGCAAUGCCGUCCCCUUUCAGCCCUGGAUGUGUCUAAUUCCUCCCUGCCUAAAGCUCAGGUUGGAAAGGCUCUGAAGUCAGCAGUGGGAGGAGGGAGAGACUAGCAGAGCCAGCACCUGGGGGGCAAGAUUUGGGGCCAGACGGACUGUCCAUAAGUAGGACAUGGUGUGCAAGGUCAGCAUCUCAGCCCUCUCAUGGUGGGUGAAUGAGCUGCAGGGAUGCUUGUUGUUUGCCCCAGGGUAUAAGAAGUAUUUUGCAUGUAAGCACUUGGCCAUGCACUGACCCCACUUUAUAAGCUUUUUUUUCCAGCAUUACUAGCCAAGGGCUCUGCAAUGGUCCCUCUCCACCCAGCACCGCCAUGCAGGGCUCCGUACCUGUUCACGAGGUUGAAGUAUCGGUGCAGGUAGCCCGGAUCCACAGCACUUUUGCACAGCUCCAGCUGGGUCUGGGGGUAGUAGUGCACGUAGUUCACACACAUCUCUUCCAGGAUGCCAAAGCCCCCCUGCAGCACAGACACAAAACAGGUCUGGCUCUGCCCUGCCAGGACUGCACGGGCAGGGUGCUACAGAGGCAGAAAUCUCCCACCCAUAUGUGUAGAUGUGUGUGUGUGUAUAUAUAUAUAUAUAUUUAUAUAUAUAUACAUGUCCCUUCAGGUGCAUGGGAUGGGCAGCACUCUGCUCAUCUGCCCAUCUGCCUUUUAUGCAAGGAUAGACUCUCAGGCUAGAUCGUGUGGUUUUACAUUAAAAUGCAGAUUUCCUAUAAUCCCUCUGCUAUAUUUAGCUUCGUCCCUGUUGAUGGUACCUCUGACAGGCUCUUCUUCUUUGCUGCCUAUGUAAGAAAAUAACAUGCACUGUCAAAAAACGCCACUUCUCUUUAAUUACAAUUAAUCCCCGGUGGAACAGUUUGUGAUGGGAAUUGGAGUGACACAUGCGACUUCUCAAUUAGCACCUAACCAUCCCCACUGCAGGCAGCAGAGCCUUGUGGGCUCGUUUCUUCACUGGCUGUAAUUCAGCCCAGGUUCAUGCAGGUGCCCGCUUUGUGGGUGUCCCCAACCCUGGGGUGCAAACACAGACUGGCCCUGCACUCACCACGGUGGCUCGGCUCCGGUCCUCCGUGUUGUAUGUGCAGGUCGUGAUGAGCUCAUCGCCCUGGGAGGUUUGAACACAGACACGUGUAGGUGGGAGAGUGCAGAGUUUCAGAGAAUCAGCGAAUUUGGGGCUGGGGGAGUUUGUAGCAUAGCGGUUCUCUGCUCCCUGCAGCCUGCAGGCAGCCUGGUUCCCCACCAGCACCGACCAUGGUGCCACAGGAACACUUGCUGAGCUUGUAUCCCCUGGGGAGAUUCCCUAGGGCCGUAUCCCUGGGACGGUGUUUCCUGCUUUUUCCUCACUUUUCAAGAAUUUCUGCAGGGCUGAAGCACCUAAAAAAACGCACUUAGGCAACAUUUUGAAUUGCCAAACCUGUACCCAACUUGAUGGCACAACUGCAUCCCCUCUGUGGUCGAUGCAACCUCCUGGUGCACGAUGCUCCUGUGGGUGCCCUUGGCUUUGGAUCUGGGUCCUUACUCACCGUACAGCCCCGGGGAAUGCUCAGCCUCUGUUCCACCACCUGCUCCCACCACAUUUGUUGCCAAAUCUCUUCUACUAAGCAAGGAGGGAGGGGGCACCUCUCAGGCGUGCACAGUUCACCCUCACCCCCCGAGGAGCCUCCCUCUGCUAGAGGAAGCCCAGCUAAAUUACGUGCUUAAUUUAGCUCCCAGCAUGGUUCAAUUGCCCACACACCGUUUUUGUACCAUGUUAGAUGAGAUCUGAUGUCCCCAAGGCAUCUGCAUGGGGGUGGCAGAUAUGACCUGGGGACCAUGGGGAGCAUGUCCUCCUGCCCCCCUGGAGGUCCUGGAUGGUAGCGGGUGCCUGUGCAUGGGCAGGGGCUGCUGGCAGCAGUGGGGACGAGGUGAUAUAAAGGAGGAUUCAGUGAUGUGGGGUCAGGGGAAGGUCUCGUGCUGUUUAGAAGCCACCACAGUUUUUGGAGCCACUCACUGGAAAAACUGCAACCACCUCCUUCAGCAUGCGGAUCUCCUGGAGGGAGGUAAAGGGGACAUGUCAGAGUGACGUUAUAGCUCUGUGCCAUGGCAGCCCCACCGGUGACAUCCAGCCAGGACCCCUGCAGACCCCUGUACCUGGAAGUGAGGGCUGUAGUGCCUGUCGGCGUUGACAACCUGCCGCUCUCUCCCGUCCCGGGACAGCACCGUCACCACUUUUCUUCCUGCCAGGUGAGUGUGGAGCUGGGAGGCGAAGAUGUGGAUGCCGGCAGCAGGCAGAGCCUGGGGGAAGGAUGGCUCAAGCCCCUGUGCCCGACCCGAUCCCUCUCCCAUCUUGUGCUUCCCCAUGCUGUGUGCUCAGGACUAGCCAUCCCUGCACUGGCUCCUGCAUGGAGGUUAAGGGGGUUGCUGGGCCCUUGGGGUAGCACAGGAGUGAGGUCCCUGCAAAGGGACAGAUGCUUGAUCCGCUUCCGAAUCUAACUGAUGUGCUGCCAUGCCCUAAGUCAGCAGGAACAGCUGAGCUGGUUGCUCCCUGCUUCCUUGCAGUCAUUAGUGGCAGCACAAAUGAUUCAUUUUGGGUAGGCCCUACAAAAACAUCCACUAAAACUUCCUUGAGAGCAAGGGGGGCAUUUUGAAACAGUACUUGAGAGAGCUCUUGGUGAGCUUCUUGGAAGCAGAGGCCAAUCUUCCCAUCUCCAUGGGGGAAAGCACCGCCAGGACACAGCCAGCUUGGCAGUGAGUUUUCUGGGAAUGGUACCCCGGGAGCAGGAGCAGAUGGCUCCCCAGGAGAGCUGCUUCAGGGGGAAUUCAGCGCAUCCCAACCAGCUGCUUGCUGUUUGUUGUACACAGCAGAUCUUUUCUUUCCAACACAACCUCGUGGUAAAGGAUUUGGGGAGUUUAAAACUGGGAAUUGGGAGCUUAGUACUAUAUCAUUUCUGCCUUGCAACCUCUCUUCUCCAAGAAGAAGCCAGGGCAGAGAGGAUGGAGACUCACCAGCUGGGUGCAUUUGUCGGUGCAAUAUCCCGUGAGGAUGAAGGCAUCCUCGCCCGGGGGAAUGGCCAUCACCGGUGUGUAGACCAAGCCCAGCUCCAUGAUGCCGGCAUCAUAGCGUCGCAGGGUGGACGUGUAGUAGAGACGGAUCCCCGAGGAGUCGCGGCGACCUGGCAGCGCACUGGAAGACUUCCAUGUGGUGGACAAUGGCCUCGUUGCCCGCCGUGAUCACUGGCUCGUACUGCAAAGCAGUGUCCAAGAAGGAGGAAACAUAAAGACCGUUUGCUGAGAGCCCAUCCCCAGGAGCUGCUGUCCGUGCAAGUUCCAAGGAGCCUGAGGCAGGUACGUCUGUUGUCUGUUAUUGAAUGGGAGACAGUUUCUGCCAUAUGAUGGGGCAGGAAGGUUGGGCAUGAGGCAACAAGGGCCAAGAGCUCUUGAGUGGCUUCGGGACCAACUCAGAGUCCACCACAACCCCUAGAGAAACAUCUCAUCCCUUCUCUAAUGACUGGUGCAUCUGAUCAGCAGAUCCUGGUCUGCUUUGUGAGUCCUUUGCCAGUUUUGCAGGGCUGAGGUGACCCUGGGGACAUUGCUUUUUCCUAAAGAGGGUCCUGACCAUGUUGCAGUAGCUCUGCCUAAAGCUAUUGGGUUUUGUUUGUAGCCAACAGCUGUUCAGGGCAUGGGAACAGGGAUUUGGGGCAGAAAGAGUGACUUCAAACGAGCCUGAGGAACAGCUCUGGCUGAAAGCACCAGCUGAAGGAAUGCUCUGCAGCAGCGGGAAGGUAUCAGGAGUUACACACUUUUUACUUACACACAGAUGAUUCACUUCACACCAUCUGUUGGAGAGAAAAUCCUCCUUCUGAGUUUUCCUUUGCAACGUCUCUCCCCUAUAAAUCACUAAGCACUCGCUUCAGUUCGCGUGUCAGGUUUUCCCUCACCCCCUUGUGUGGUUUUGACUCUGGAUGUGCCAGAUCACCUGCCGAGCCACCUCUGCGCCUGCCCGGGCGAUGCUGUCCCAGCAGCUGGUGAUGGGCAGACAGGUCAGGCUGACAUUACUCCUGCCUUUCCCCAGCACCAGCCUGCCUGCAGGUUUCUGCCUCUCCUUUCAGGAAGACCCAAGCACAUGCAACAUGUCUGGGCAACGCACACAAGUUGCAUGGCUCAGUGUGCCACGAUGCUGCCAUGGGUCUGUCCUUGAUGGUUACAGUUCUGCCUUCUGCAGGGGGUCAGCUCUGCAAGGGAGCUGCUCGAAGCCUGCCCUGGUACAUGCUUGAUGUCACCUGUCUGCCACCUCCUGCUGAGAAACUUCUGACUUUGGAGUCUCUAAGAGACAUGAGGAUGCUACUGGCUGGGGGGAUGGCUCUGGGAGAUGUUUUGGUACCCUGUUGGAGAAGAUAUAUGGGUCUGAAAGCCUGUGAAAGGGCAGGGAAGAGGUGGACAUUGCAGAAUAACUGAAUGUGAACGUGAUUGUUGAACUGCAGCAGGGAAAGAAACCCUCUUCUGCCUCUCACCAUGAUAAUGUGAUGUUUGGGGAAGCCAGCUGGGAGCUCUGCCAUGUAACACCAGUAGGUUGUCAUCUCGCUGGGAAUGACAAUGUUGGGGGCCGUUAACUCCAUGGUCUUCCUGUCACUGGGCAGUUCAGGGAUGGUGAUGUUGGGCUUUAGCAGCUGCACCCUCUGCAGUCCCCUCUGGAUAGCAGAGAUGUUGAUGGCUUGAAGAGAAUGGACUGGUUUCUCCAGGAUCCCGUAGAUAAGGUGCACGGUGCCAUCCUGAAGUGAGAGCAAAGUGUUUCAGCUAGAGUUUUUUUAUGCGGGAAUGUGAACUGCGUGGACUAUUAGCACCAAUAUUGGUGGCAGGAAUCCAGGAAUGGACCUCUUGAUCCAUCCCCAGAUGGGAAGUGACCCUGACUUCAUCAGUUGCUCCUUUUGCUGUGCUGUCUCAGGAAGACAAUAGACUUUGGGGUGUUUCUUUGGCUGAUGUGAUCACAGAGGGUUUCCUACCAGUUGGGAGAGUCUGAAAAGUUUUCCCUUCAUGGCAUCAGUUCCGUAAGGGUAAUAUCUCCUCUCUGCUCUUUCAGAGCCCCUCGUCCCUCCUGAGCUCCAGGCUGGGACAACCAGAUGAGUUCAGAGCUCAUCCCACCCUGCAGCCCGGCCCCAGCAAUGGCCACAGGCAGCAGCCUGGGGAUGUACAGCAGAAACAAAUCUUUUCUCUGAAAUCCUCCCUUUUCCCAGCUUCUGUUGCAGGGAGUGCUGCAAGAAGCUCUGCUGAAAGUCUACUGCAAACUGUGGAAGUGCUGCUGAACACAGAGAGCUCUGGACAGGAGAUAAGGAAGAAAGGAAAAAGAUCGUAUUUUUUUUUUCCUUAAAGGAUCAGAGAAUAAAGACCUGAAAGUCUUUUCCCGGCUCACACACAGAUUUUUUUUCCUCCAGGGCUCUGUGUUUUGGCAGAUGGUAGACAUUUCCCACCACAAGACAAGCUUUUGAAAACCAGCAAUAAAAACUCAAGGAUGCUCUGUGCCCACGUUGACUUUAAAAUAUCCUGCCCACCAAAGGCUUUCAUAUGAAAUGAGCCUUGUGCUGAUUCCUGCCCGCCCCUGGGGUCUAUGGCUGAGACCCCAAAGCUCUCCGACAUCUCUACUUGGAAGGUUUCCACCACACUCCAUCUCAUGGGGGAGCUGUGAAUGCAGACCCAGAGGGACUUGACCAAAACACACCACAGCAGCUCUAUUUGCCAUCGCUUUGCUCCAGCUCCUGCCACAACCCUCAUCUUUGUGUCCCGUUGAACAACACCAACACCUCUUUGUAACGCUCUGAACAGUUGGCUCUAGACUGCAAACCAGAGUGAUGCAGGAGGGUAUUUAUAUAGACCUAACACAUGCUUAACAGCAGCGAAUGAUGCAAACGAGCUAAAAUCUACACUUUAUAGAGGUUUAUAAGGGGUUGUAAAUAGAUCGUGCCAAAUAUUACUCAUGUCCCAGGACUGACAUCUGUAAUACGCUUCCUUUCUGCUUUAGGCAGCACAGAUGCUUAAUGCUGUCCCUGAAACAAAACACGGGUCUGGUAUAACCACACAAUUGGGGUUUGGAGCUCUGCCCUGGGGCUGGGGGGUUCUGUAGCAGGGUGGAGUGAUGCUGUACCUCAAUAAGGUAGUCCUUGGGGUCACAGGUGCUGAAGGCUCUUCUGAAGAGGAGGUAGAGCCCCUCCGUAGCCCUCCGAGCCCCGAGGAGCUGGUAGUCCUGCUGUGAGUCCAUGUGGAGCUGCCCCUUGGCAUCGCUCCAGGCAUCCUGCGGGAGGAAGAGCACCCCGCUAAGCUGGUUCCAUGGGUUGUGAGGUUCUCCUUCUGUUUGCCAUAUGUCUGGUUCGCCCUCUGCACCCCAGAGAUGGAGGGAGCCUGUGUUUUGGUUGCCCCAUGCCCACCUCUAGCAGCCCGUGGGCAGAGCUGCCACGAGACCCUUGGUGCUCAGCAUAGGAAUACGUGACCCAGCAUUAAUAGUCUGCAGAAAGACCUUUUCGAGUCAAGAUGCGACUGGGGGAAAGGAUACAGUGGGAGGAAAGCUUGCAGGGACACGUGAAGGUGUUGCAUUGAUCUGUGUUGUGUUUUGGGUGUAUCUUCUCGGGGGGCGUGAUGUGUUCUCCAAGACCCUGGCCACAAACAAGCUGCUCUCCAUUUAAGAUCAGACCUUUGCUGGGCUGUAGCGUCAGCCUUAGGAAUUGCUAACACUCUUCAAAAUCCUUAAUUUGUUGUGUUCAGAUUGUUUUGGCAGCCCAGCAAGGCCUCCUGAAAUCUGCACGUUGGUGAUGAUGGUGACAAAGCCACACUGAGAAGCAAGGCAGGAGGUUACUCCUGUGAUUAAGGAUUUGAAGGUUUGGAGUAUAAAACCCUGCAGUAAUUUGGAUUUGAACAGUGUAUUUGUCUUGAUCUUUUGCAUUUCCCUUUGAUACCUUUGUUUACUGAUAAAAGGCACUUAAGAAGUACCUUUCUGUAUGUACACAAGUGGCAUCAGUUCUCUUAUCUUGGGGAAAAAAAAAAAAAAAAAAAAAAAAAAAACAGAAGAAAAAGAUUAAGGCAUCUUGGCAUCAUUUUAGCCAAAAGUAUAGAGUGAUAUUUUGAGAACAUAUUGUCCUUAGAGGGGGAGAGUAAAAUCAGCUACAUGAAGCUAGCAUGACAUUUGUUUUCAUAGGAAUAUGGUGUGCAAAUUAAUCUUGUAGUACAUGGGGGGUUAAGCGAAUUUGGAUCUUUUUUAACAGCUGACAUACUUAUGCGGAAGAAAAGCUGCUGGGAGAGAGAAAACCAAGACUGGGGAGAUUUAAAGAAACCUCCUUGCAGGAUGCUGUUCAGUACCAAGUGAAAGGAAAGCCCAAAUGCUGCCCUGUGUUUAAUUCAGUGCUGUUUGUCUUUCCGUGAGCACAUGAAGGCAGAUUAGAAAUGCUCCUUUAUGUUUUUUUAACAUGAUGCUGUGAAAUACUGUAGCAUUCGGGCUACCACGCAUCCUGAAUGGCUGGUAAUUAGCAGGAAAACAGUACAGAUAAUAACUCCUUCUUUUCAUCCUUUCAUUACACCGCAGAUCACAUUGCGGCUGAUUGUGAAAGAGUGUAUUUUAUGGUUAAUUUGAAGUAAGCAGAGAGGUAAAAUUUAACUUACUGGAAAAGCCUCACAUGGGGGAAAAAUGUGAAUUGCUUUCUGCAGCCAAGCGCGAUUGCAAUAAGCCUAUUGUGGUAUUCUGGGGAUAGGAGAACACAGGGGGAGUGACUGUAACUGCAGCCCCGGUGGAAAGGCAAACCAAACAAGAACCCGGACGAACAGACUGUGUCAGAAAGGACGGUGAUUUGUAGUAGCAAUAUCAAACAGCAAAAUCAGAAAUUAGUUUUCCCCCCAUCUGCUACCGUUUACAUACUGCCCAAAAUACAUUUGCAUGUUUAAUUUCCAAUAACGCCGCGCCGCUGGCAGCCAUCAGGUUGUGUUUGCUUGCACCCUGUUGAUCUCUGUGAUAGCAUCGAACGCGGCUCGCGGCUGGGUUAUUGGUGCUGGCAGCAGCGGGAUUUCUGGCUGGUAACUUCUGCACAGCCUCAAAGUUAUUCACGGGAGCUGUGGUUAAUUUUUAAUGUGACUGACAGCAGCACACAAGUGAACCGAGGCGUCGAUACAUCCUGCAUGUGUGAGCUGGUCUGUACAACCACCUGUUGGAGCUGAACACAGCAGAGACAUCCCGGUUCUGGUGCCACUCAGCCUCGCUGAUGUGCUGCUGUGUUUAUUAUUUUCUCUUUGGGUUUAAGACCCUAUGCCAAACGUGAUGUGCAGACCUGAUCUGUGGGUUCCUCUGGGGGUCCCCAAGCCCUUUUGGACCCAGUCCACCUGAGUAGCCCAAGUGGUCCAGCCUGUGCCGUGCUCUGGACCAGCCCCAUUCCUUCAAACCACCAGCCAGAUUCACCCACAGGGAGGCAACCCCAAAAGCAGCUGUGCAAACACACAAGCGACUCACCCCGAAAUAGGAAUUGUGCCCAUCGCUCCAGAGCACAACCAGGUCCGCAUUCUCGAACUCGCCCCUGUCCGACAUCCCGAAGAGGAGCCCAGACUUCAGAUCCCUGAUGAGGAGCUGGAAAUACACGGUUUGCUUGGGGUAGCUGAUGUUCCAGGAGAGCUCGAGCAGACCCUGGGGAUCGAGGGGCACCUUGUAGGGAAAAUCACUCUUGCGGGGUGCCGAGCCCUGCAGGGCCACCACCAAGAUGACCAGGAACACCGCGAUCAUGGUGAAGUACAUGGAUGCCACCUCCCGCAGCUUAAAGCUGGGGCAGGGCUUGCACCCCGAGGUCUGCAUGCUGGGGAGAACAGCACCCAUGCGUCUGGCUUUGCCCAUUUAUGCACUGGCCCUCCUGGGCAAACCGGGUAAGCGAUACUGUUUAAUUGCAUUUGCUUGUUGGGAAAUCGGAUUGUUGUAUUGACCCCCCCACCUCCUGGCCAAACAUUUGUCAUUCACUGCCUCCCCUUAAUUGGCUCUAAUUGCACAUGGACAUUAUCAAUAGCAAUUGAAUUUGACUGGGCUAAUGUUAUUCAUUCUUAAAUCUUCCUUUGUGGCUGGAAAGAGCUGUUCACUCUCAAGCUGCUCUUGCUGAGCACCAUGUGGACGCACUCUGCCCGGCUCGUGGUGCUGCUCACCCAGUUCUGCAGGGUGAAAGCUCUGGGAUGGCCCCAGGAUCGAUCCCAGCCACAGGCCCCUAUGUCCCACAGGCUGGGAUCACUUGUCACGAGAAAGGUGGCCAGUCCUGGUUCCACUCCCUGACCACACUGCUGGGUGCAGGUGGGGGGAUCACUGUGUGUGAACUUGGUGUGAACUAUUUCUGGCCCUUCCAAAGCCAGCACAGCACUUAAGCAAAAAUAAGGAUGCCAAUGCAAAGCCCAGCUUCCUUCCAACCCUGGUUUGGUUCCCAUCAAAGGACCUGCCUACCUCAACCUUUGAGACAUAAAAUAUUUGUUAUUUUUUUGCUUUUGUAGCUGCUGGGACUUUGGCUCCAGUUUAUAGGUACCUUUCGUCCCUCCCCUUUCUCAUUUGCUUAAAGUCUGAUGUAUUCUCUUUUGGUUAUUAACUUUUCUAUGUUAAUUGGAAUUAUAAUGAACCAUCUCAAGCUCUUUGAUACACAAACACACACACUGCCUUGCUUUAGUCUCGGAGUUCGUGGUCGUGUUUUAUUAAUGCCAGCCCACGUGACAAGCGAUGUUCUCAAACGACUCCUGUGUGGAGUCCCCUCUGGGUCUUGGGUUUCACUCGUGGUCCUUGCAGCAAUGUCAUGCCAAUGGAUCCACAUUUCCCAGCCUGUGUAAUGAGAGGAAAUAGAUUCAGCUCAGUGCCCAAGUGUUUUAAUGAGUCAUCAAUGUGUGGCAUCUCUACAUUAAAUUUGAUGAGGUUUUUAUUGUUCUAAGACACAACCAUUACCCGGGAACUCAGCAAUUGAUCUGGAGUGUCUCUCCUUGUCGGGUGACCUGCUGGUUAGAGGCUGUGAUCUCUCAUUCAGCUUUAUCAGGCAAAAUGCCAAAGCAGAGAGAAAGCUGAGUCCUCCCAGGCAAGCGCAUCCCUCGGCCCCAUCUCAUGCCCCAUGGGACCAGUGACUCCAGCAUACAGCCCAGCCCCACUCCAGCCCUCCCACUGCUGCCGGUGUCAGCUUUAAAAGCCCUUGUCCAGAUAAGUUAACAUGCAGGAGGUCAAUAGAGCUGCCUGGGAAGGCUCCCAACCUGGCAGCUCUUGGGUCCGAACUCGCAGGAUGUGUGAGCUGAACCCCCGUGGUGUCCUGGGCUCCCUGCCCAGGAGCCGGGUGUGCACCUCAACCCACCCGCAGCUCCAUGCAUCUUCCCAAAGGAGGCGGCAGCAUCUCCACCCCUUUGCCUGAGGCUGCUGGCUGGUUCCUGGACCUGCUGCACUCCGAGAUCCUUGUCUGAAAGCGUCAGAUGGGUGUCCCUGGUCCGCCAGCCCUGGCUGCCUGGGGAAAUGUCUGGCUGUGUUACAAAAGCCCCUUGGGAACAGAUUUUUGCCUUGCCCCACUUCUAACCUCCUCCAAGCACAGAUUCACCCGCUUCUCCUCCUCUCUUGGCUUUGUCUCCUCAUUGUCAGGGGAAAGAAGCAGAGCUGCCAGCAUGGCAAGAAGGCAAAUGAUCCUCACCGGGGGUGUGGGAGGGGGUCCUUAGCUAACGAGCUCUGCCUGCGUCUAUUAGAGAUGAAACCCCAGGUUGCUGGCGUGCACAAGUGGAGCUCCUGAGCUUUUCUGUACAGAAGGAAUUUGCAGUGGAACAGCAUAACAUGGGCAGGUCAGCUUGAAAACAGCUGAACUUUGCAGAUAAGCAAUGAGAAUUUAUUUAAAGAGAAAAAAAUUAUGUAUAUCUCUCCCCCUCCUUCAGUUUCUCCCCAGUCGUUGCUCAUAAAUCCAGGCGAGGAGCAAGGAUCCAGCUUUCCGCUCAUUGCUCCGGGUGUUUAUUUUAAGACUUCAAUGAGAUGUAGAAAUGCCAGUUCCCUGACUCUGAGACUCCAACUGCUCAGGGCUGACGCAGAGUCGCUUCCCACAGGCCGGCUGCCGGGAGGAGCACCCGGAGGGUGCGGGACGUGGGCUCAGCCCCUUUCCUGGAAGGCAGAGCAGCAGCAGAAGGUUUCUGCCCACCUGUGAGCUCUUGCCAGAGCUAAUGCUGGCACAAUUGCACUAGUGCUAGCAUGGGAGCAUCUUGUGCUGGAGACGAGACUCAGGUGACCCUGAGAAUCCCCCUGGAAUAAAAAGAGCUAAGGGUGCAUGGGGAAGAUCCGGAGCAUGCUGUGAGCCCCAGUGAAGGGCUUGUUUUAAUGGAUAGUGCUCAGAUGUGUCCCCCAGGCCCCAGCUUGGCAGUGCUGGAUGCCAUACGAACACCAGCAGCAUCAAUCCCCCGCUGGGUGCUGCUGGCCCCAUCCUCUGCAGAGCCGCACGUCCAAAUCCUCCUGGCAACGUGCUAAAACUACCGUGGCCUUUCACUGCCACUGAUGACCAUGGCUGCAAAGCCAGUCCUAAAGGCAAGAUAAGCUAUGUUUUGCAGAGCCCCGAAAGCAGCAGUGCCUGACAUUUGUGACGGGGAGCCGGGGGAAGCAGCUGCCUCCAUCGGCAGGAGGUGAGGGCUGCCUGCCUGGAACAAAGCUUGACUUACAGGUGACUGCAGCAGUUGGUAUUUAACCAGCAGAUGUGCUGGACACAAACCAAGAGAGGACACUUGGAGGAGAUCAUGACCCAGCAGCGGUGGGUGGGAAGACCCAUUCCCUCCUCCUUCCAUCCAUCGCUUUCUGGCACUAAGCUGCUUCCUGAAGAUUACACAGCAAGCCAGGAUCAACAUCAAGAGGAUCCGAUCCAGGAGAGGACAUGGGGCCAAAAGAGCCUGAGGAAUUUGAAGAUGGAACUUGAUCAGCUUAGCAAAAGGAUUGGUGUGAUAAAGGCUGCAGGCCCGGCACGCUCAAGCGAAGGUGACUGGGGUGCUGUGAGGGUGUGCUCAGAUCCCCAUGAGAAGAGGACAAUGCAGUGGGGACCUUUGAGGCUGCUGUCAUGGGUAUUUGGGAUCAGCCUGAAGACCACCCGAGAGAAGGCACCUCCAAACUCAUGGGGAAGAGGCAGAGCGAAGGACCAGACACUUCCACCAGGAGCAGGCAGCAGCUGUCUCUCCAAGGAGGUGAGUGGAGAAUUGCUUUGACACACUCACUGGGAAGCAAGGAGGCUAUUUAUUGCAGCACAGAAACCAAAAUGAAUGGCCCAAGCAAAGAACCUCCAUCGUUCAUAUUUCAGAACAAAGGUACAAUGAUAAAUUGCUAGACAAUGACGUUUGACCCAUAACAGUAAUAAAAAGCUAAAAUUGUUUUCUUUUUUUUUUCCUGGCAUAGCUUUUCAAUAUCUUUCACACAUAGUCCAAGCAACCUUGAAACAAAAGUGAGCAGGAACCAUGAUACAAACAGUUCAGUACUAACUAAUACAGUCUGUAAUAAUUAAACAAUAAUAGUCUUAAGUAGACUCUCUCAACAUAAACUACAUUUUGUCCCCUUGCUUUCAUUUCUUGUCAUUAGACUGGGUAGCUUGCCUUUCAGAUCUCUGCACAGGCGUUCGAACUGCGUGCAGAGUGUGCUGAAAUUACUGCCAGUAAUUAGUUUAUUUAGAGAGCAAUUAAUUAAAUGCAACUGUUUCCCUCUCUAUAGAUUAAAAGAGUGCUAUAAGCGAUACCGUCUUAAAAAGAGCAGAUGUGCUAUAAAAG